ACGGGCGCCUGGACGCCAUCUCGGUCUUUCGAGGCUGAAAGUCGCAGCUGGAAUGAUGCUGGGCACGAAUGCAAUGUGGCUUUUGAUGGCUUCUGAUGGACAGCUGUACCAAAGGAAUGAGAACAGCCACCAGGGGCCUGAAGCUCAAGCAUCACUCUUGAUCGUCGGCAGGCAGGCAUUAAAAAGAAUUAACUGGAAGUUGAAGUGGUGUACUUGAGUCUGAUGUGUCUGGAUUGGCUUACUCUUUUUGCUAAUGGAUACGCAUUUUUAUCUGGAUGACGUUUUUUGGGUGCAGAUUGUGGCGACCAUUUACGUAAAGGUGUGAGGAGUUUUCAAGAGUCGGGCUGGUUACAAGACCUGGAGAAGAGUUUAAGGAAAGGCAGGCCUGUGACUGAAGCUUUCAAGGGCACUUGUGACAGUGGUCAAUACAGCUGGCCCAUUGAAAGGCAGCUGGAUGAAUGGAUGCUCGUGAAAUAGAUUGUCAAACAAUUAAUGAAUUUUAAUAAACUUUUAUAAGUCAUCUGA